rnacentral:rRNA from 1 species
UACGGAGGGUGCUAGCGUUGUUCGGAAUCACUGGGCGUAAAGAGCGUGUAGGCGGUCUGUUAAGUCUGGUGUGAAAUCCCCGCGCUCAACGAGGGAACUGCGUCGGAUACUGGCAGACUUGAGUACCGGAGAGGAAGGUGGAAUUCCCGGUGUAGCGGUGAAAUGCGUAGAUAUCAGGAGGAACACCGGUGGCGAAGGCAGCAUCCUGGACCGAGAUUGACGCUGAGGAGCGAAAGCGAGGGGAGCAAACGGG